rnacentral:rRNA from 1 species
GCGUGAGAAUCUGGCUUCAGGUCGGGGACAACAGUUGGAAACGACUGCUAAUACCGGAUGUGCCGAGAGGUGAAAGAUUUAUNUGCCUGAAGAUGAGCUCGCGUCUGAUUAGCUAGUUGGUGNGGUAAGAGCGCACCAAGGCGACGAUCAGUAGCUGGUUUGAGAGGAUGAUCAGCCACACUGGGACUGAGACACGGCCCAGACUCCUACGGGAGGCAGCAGUGGGGAAUUUUCCGCAAUGGGCGAAAGCCUGACGGAGCAAUACCGCGUGAGGGAGGANAGGCUCUUGGGUCGUAAACCUCUUUUCUCAAGGAAGAAAGANNUGACGGUACUUGAGGAAUAAGCAUCGGCUAACUCCGUGCCAGCAGCCGCGGUAAUACGGAGGAUGCAAGCGUUAUCCGGAAUGAUUGGGCGUAAAGGGUCCGCAGGUGGAACUGAAAGUCUGCUGUUAAAGAAUUUGGCUCAACCAGAUAAAAGCAGUGGAAACUACAGAACUAGAGUAUGGUAGGGGUAGAAGGAAUUCCUAGUGUAGCGGUGAAAUGCGUAGAUAUUAGGAAGAACACCGGUGGCGAAAGCGUUCUACUAGACCAAGACUGACACUGAGGGACGAAAGCUAGGGGAGCGAANGGGA